rnacentral:rRNA from 1 species
UACGGAGGGUGCGAGCGUUGUCCGGAAUCAUUGGGCGUAAAGAGCGUGUAGGCGGCUUGGUAAGUCCGCUGUGAAAGUCCAGGGCUCAACCCUGGAAUGCCAGUGGAUACUGUCAAGCUAGAGUCCGGAAGAGGCGAGUGGAAUUCCUGGUGUAGCGGUGAAAUGCGCAGAUAUCAGGAGGAACACCAAUGGCGAAGGCAGCUCGCUGGGACGGUACUGACGCUGAGACGCGAAAGCGUGGGGAGCAAACAGG